GCUGAGCUCACAGUCUAAUGCAGAGAACAUCGAGAACACAUGUGUGGCUCUGCAGGUUCCAGCAGUGGGCGUGGCAGAACGAAAGAGCAGGAAGCUCCACCCCUGAGCAAGCAGGUUUCAGGCUGGGGGAGGGGAGACUACAGCUCAUACUUGGAAGCAGCAUUGAUUUACGAGAUGCAGAGAAUUUUGAGUCAAUGGGGCUGAAUGAGCAUAGCCAUAAUACAGACCAUCACCCACAUUGAGCAGCCUCCCUCCUUGUAAUACAUUUAUGAUUAUUAGUUAUGUAGCUUCCUUAUCAUACAGAAGAAUAGCAGGGCAAAAAAAUAGACCACAAGAAAAAUAAGACUAUCAGCAAGAAGAUAAAGAAAUUUCUGCAAAGUGGCUCAUAGUAAAUGGAUGGCUUUCAGGUAAAAAUCAAUUUUCUAUGAACAAGAACAAAAAUAGGGAAAUAGGAAAACAAACAUUUUAAAGGAAUCA
ensembl:processed_transcript Gm28262 predicted gene 28262